UUCACACAGUUAUUAACGUAUAUCUACAUUAAUUUAUAUACUACACACACACUCACUCACACUUACACUCACACUCACCACUCACACUCAUACACACAUACACACACUCACACUCACACACACUCACACUCACACACACUCACACUCACACUCACUGAUAUAUAUACUACAGACAUACACACCUCACACACACUCACACUCACUCACAAAUAUAUAUACUAUACAUGUUUAUGUGUUGUGUAUGGACUGAUAUGUGAAUAUAUAUGAUGUGUUUAUACUGAUAUGUUUAUGCGAGUAUAUAUACAGUUGCUUGCUAUCAAUUAUAUACAAUUAGCAAUGGAUAUAUACACAUAUAUGCACACA
rnacentral:lncRNA from 1 species